UAAGGAAUAUUGGACAAUGCCCGCAAGGGUGAUCCAGCCAUCCCGCGUGCAGGAAGAAAGCCCUAUGGGUUGUAAACUGCUUUUGUAAGGGAAGAAACCCCCUGAUGCGUUAGGGGUUGACGGUACCUUAAGAAUAAGCACCGGCUAACUCCGUGCCAGCAGCCGCGGUAAUACGGAGGGUGCAAGCGUUAUCCGGAAUCACUGGGUUUAAAGGGUGCGUAGGCGGCUAAAUAAGUCAGAGGUGAAAUGCUACGGCUUAACUGUGGAAUUGCCUUUGAAACUAUAUAGCUAGAAUAGAGUUGAGGUUGGCGGAAUGUGACAUGUAGCGGUGAAAUGCAUAGAUAUGUCAUAGAACAUCGAUUGCGAAGGCAGCUAACUGGGCUUUUAUUGACGCUGAGGC
rnacentral:rRNA from 1 species